rnacentral:rRNA from 1 species
GAUGAACGCUAGCUACAGGCUUAACACAUGCAAGUCGCGGGGCAGCAUUUUCUUAGCUUGCUAAGGAAGAUGGCGACCGGCGCACGGGUGAGUAACGCGUAUCCAACCUUCCCAUGUCCACGGGAUAGCCCGUCGAAAGGCGGAUUAAUACCGUAUGAGGUCACAUGCGGGCAUCUAAGUGUGACGAAAGGUUUGGCGGACAUGGAUGGGGAUGCGUCCGAUUAGCUAGUUGGCGGGGUAACGGCCCACCAAGGCGACGAUCGGUAGGGGUUCUGAGAGGAAGGUCCCCCACAUUGGAACUGAGACACGGUCCAAAACUCCUACGGGAGGCAGCAGUGAGGAAUAUUGGUCAAUGGACGUAAGUCUGAACCAGCCAAGUAGCGUGCAGGAUGACGGCCCUAUGGGUUGUAAACUGCUUUUAUGCGGGGAUAAAGUGUGGGACGUGUCCCAUAUUGCAGGUACUGCAUGAAUAAGGACCGGCUAAAUUCCGUGCCAGCAGCC